GUAGGUGGCAAGCGUUGUCCGGAAUUAUUGGGCGUAAAGCGCGCGCAGGCGGUUCUAUAAGUCUGAUGUGAAAGCCCACGGCUCAACCGUGGAGGGUCAUUGGAGACUGGAGAACUUGAGUACAGAAGAGGAAAGCGGAAUUCCACGUGUAGCGGUGAAAUGCGUAGAGAUGUGGAGGAACACCAGUGGCGAAGGCGGCUUUCUGGUCUGUAACUGACGCUGAGGCGCGAAAGCGUGGGGGGAGCAAACAGGAUUAGAUACCCUGGUGGUCCACGCCGUAAACGAUGAGUGCUAAGUGUUAGGGGGUUUCCGCCCCCCCCUUAGUGCUGCAGCCAACGCAUUAAGCACUCCGCCUGGGAGUACGGCCGCAAGGCUG
rnacentral:rRNA from 1 species